AAUAAGCAUUCAGAGUGUCUUUAGGCACGGCAACCGGGUUUUAGCUCCAACGGUGCCCAUUACAAUGCGCGGCUUCUGCCGAAAAAAAGCUGUAAGC
rnacentral:ncRNA from 2 species